AACGAACGCUGGCGGCAUGCCUAACACAUGCAAGUCGAACGAGACCUUCGGGUCUAGUGGCGCACGGGUGCGUAACGCGUGGGAAUCUGCCCUUGGUUUCGGAAUAACUCAGAGAAAUUUGAGCUAAUACCGGAUGAUGACGAAAGUCCAAAGAUUUAUCGCCCAAGGAUGAGCCCGCGUAUGAUUAGCCUGUUGGUGGGGUAAUGGCUUACUAAGGCGACGAACUUUAGCUGGUCUGAGAGGAUGAUCAGCCACACUGGGACAGAGACACGGCCCAGACUCCUACGGGAGGCAGCAGUGGGGAAUAUUGGACAAUGGGCGAAAGCCUGAUCCAGAAAUGCGUCGUGAGUGAUGAAGGCCUUAGGGUUGUAAAGCUCUUUUGCCAGGGAUGAUAAUGACAGUACCUGGAGAAUAAGCUCCGGCUAACUCCGUGCCAGACGCCGCCAUAA
rnacentral:rRNA from 1 species